ensembl:lncRNA
CUGCAGUACUGUACAACAGCACAAACUUGUCUGUAUUUCUGAUCAUUCUUAAUGAUCAUAGCAAAUAUAGACAAAUACUGUGCCUUCAAAAACAGUUCCCUUUUCACAAUAAUCUAAAAAUACCUUGUUCUUUUUAAAUAUGUAGCUUAACUUUUGAAAAUAAAAUAUACAUUAUAUGAAAUAUAACAGUUGUUUAUUGGAUAGACUAUAUUGUACCAAAUGCAAUUAUAUGCAAAUACACUUUCUCUCUGUGACUUCUUACGCAUUACAUGCACAAAAAAAGAGGAGGGGAAAAAAAGAUGCAGCGCAUACAAAAGAAGCUGUACAUACCUCUGUAUGAAAAUAGAAAAUAUCAAAGCAAGAUGUGCACCAAUAGUCUAGAUUAUGUUACAAAGAACUCGCCGUACAAAAAGACCUACAGGAAUGACCAGAUAACACAUUACCUGGAACACAGAGGUACAGGUACUGGGUUGUUUUAACACAACAAAGACAAAACCUUGUUUUUAAUGCCCUGCCGAUGAAUUCAGGGUCAGAGCCACAUCCGAGAAAGUCUAAAACCAGAUCCCAAAUACAACUGGAUCAAAGAGUGACAGGGUCAUACAAGCAAACCAGGAGUUACAGUUUUAGCUUGGAAUUUUGCCAUUAAACCCAGUGAGUGUUGAUGUCCAAUGCAUAGCACAAAGUUUGGUUUGGUUUGUGUUUAAAUUUCUUGUAUUGCUACCCCAUAAGUGACGUGAGUCUGAACCAAAUUGCCAGUUAUGCCCACAACUUACAAAGCAUUGAUAUGUCAGUGUUAAAUUAUUGAACAUGUACAGAUACUGUGAUUAGUAUUCCAACAUCAAUGUUCUGUACAGCAUCGAUAUUAAGCGUUUCUGGCUUAAAAUCAUUAUUAUUGCCAAAACACCUUCAUACGUCUCCAAUCUCAUUUAAAAUAAAAUGGAUUUGCUCAUGUCCAGUUUAAAUAAGCACACAGAAAAAGUUCUCCACAAAGACAGCGUGUACCAGGCACACUGCUACAUAGCUACAUCUAUCAUUUCCUGCAAAAAAAAGCACUUCUGAAGUCACACAUAAGGUAGGGUGUGAGCAAAAACAGCAAAGACUCCACAAAUUCCAGGAAAAAAUAUAUGUGUUGAGAUUUCUUUAGGAACAACAUGAGGAUUAACGAAAGACAGUCCCGGUACAUGUCUCGACUGCUGAUGCUGAGACUCGAGCGGGGAGGGUGUGAAAAGCGAAUCCCUCCCAGUAUAAUCUCUGAGCAUUUGCAGAGAUUAUCAGGUGCUCAUAGGUAACAUAAAGCCAAUAAUCUCAGCUGUGCAAAUCUAACGCUUGUACCAAAAGGUAGAGCCUUUAAAGCAAAUGAGAUCAGUGCCUUGAAAUAGAGACUUGCUUCUGAAAUCAUUUCACAAACACCCCAGCGUGUGACAACUGUAUUGCUCUGAGUGAAGCUAUUCAAGGACCACAGUGUUUCUCUAUGCAAUCCUCUCUCGGUACAUUCUCUAUCACACAAAUAUAAGAAUAAAGAGCAAGGGCUUUCCUUACUGGUAAUACACCCAAACACUACAAUCCCCCCAAAAAUCUACUCUUUCAUAACAUACAUAAGAAAAUAUACAUUUCUUCAGCAAUUAAAUGUCUUAAAUUGUUGUUAUUUUUUUUAAUAUUCUUAAUAAAAUCUUAUAACUCUUUCUUAUUUACAUUUGGUUAGGUUAAUACUGAUUGUAAUGCAAUACUGUCGCCUUCACGUGUGUCUGUAUGUUUUUUUCUGUUACAUUUCUUUUGUUUGUUUGUUGAGCAGAAGCACUUUUACAUUCAUAUUUCAACACCAGAGCUUGCUGAGAAAGCCCCGAGUGCAGACGGGAAUAAUGACAUGCAUUCCUCCAAAAGCAAAAAAAGACAACUUCAAAAGGAGGAAGUCCUCUUGCUCGAGCAAAUAAACUAGCUGAGAGGUGGAGAGAGUGGAAGGAUGACAAUGACGAGACUGAAAAAGGCCUGGAGAGUUGGCACCCAGCAGUGCCUUUAUUUGGCUGUAAAAAAAAAAAGAAAGAAAGAAAGAAACUCUUGCAGCACCGGGACAGUCAGUUCUGUGAGAAGUCAUGUGUGACAUUACUGGAGGGGUCACAGCUGACUGAGCCAAGAGGUGAGAUGAAAGCCUUUGUUGCUGGAAAAAGCUGUUAACUUGACAAAGACUGAUUUCCACAGUGGUGAAGGCAGUGGUCAGAGGUUACACCCUCUCCACUUGACUGGGGUCGUAAGAGUCUG